rnacentral:lncRNA from 1 species
AUUGAGUAUAAGAAUUACUAAAUCAAGAGAUGACAAGAUCAAAUAAUCUCUUCAAUGGUAAAACAAGAAUGAAAGUUAAAACAACACAAGAAAAUCAUCUAAACUCCUAUCAUGAACACCUAAAGAUAAAGACUAGGAACAGAAUCCCUCAUUCAACCAACCUCUAGACAAUUCUGUUGCAAGACAUUAUCGGUGCCAACACAUAACGAGUUCAUGAUCUCACUCAGAAGGAACAAGUGUGAUCAUAAGUCCAUAAUGUUUUGCUAAAAACUCAUGGGACGUGCUUAUUCCCAAAUCCCAACUGAUUCAACCACUUAUGGUUUCUUGUGAAAUUCUAUAGUAUAUACUCAUGUAUAGAUGACAAGUACAGGGGUCUUGUACCAUGCACAAGUCUCUUUUUUAUCAUUGGAUAAAAAAGACACAUAAUAUUUUAUUUAAUUUAAUUGUGAGAUUAUUCAAACUAGCUUGUUCAUCAUUCAAGAUUUGUCUCAUUUAUACGAUAAAACU